AAGCAGAUGAUGAGUUACUCGAUUCUUCAAGACUCAUGGGUGAUGCAAAAACCGAGUUUCUGAUGCU